GCCCCUUCUCUGCUUAUUCUUAUUUGGAUACCCAAUCAAUUUGAAGCAUGACUCUUUGGUAUGUCCAAUGGCUUUGCUAGAAUCCUUCUUCUUAAUUGGAGGCUUAUCACCAGACCUUGUCCCUUCCUUCUUAAUUGCUGGAACUACCACCAUUGUUUUUGGCUCUCAUUCUGUUGUUAAUUGGAUGCGCAAUCUUGUAGAAAUUG